rnacentral:rRNA from 1 species
AACGAACGCUGGCGGCAUGCCUAACACAUGCAAGUCGAACGAGACCUUCGGGUCUAGUGGCGCACGGGUGCGUAACGCGUGGGAACCUGCCCUUAGGUUCGGAAUAACUCCCCGAAAGGGGUGCUAAUACCGGAUAAUGUCUUCGGACCAAAGAUUUAUCGCCUUUGGAUGGGCCCGCGUUGGUUUAGCUAGUUGGUAGGGUAAAAGCCUACCAAGGCGACGAUCCAUAGCUGGUCUGAGAGGAUGAUCAGCCACACUGGGACUGAGACACGGCCCAGACUCCUACGGGAGGCAGCAGUGGGGAAUAUUGGAAAAUGGGCGAAAGCAUGAUCCAGCAAUGCCGCGUGAGUGAUGAAGGCCUUAGGGUUGUAAAGCUCUUUUACCCGGGAUGAUAAUGACAGUACCGGGAGAAUAAGCUCCGGCUAACUCCGUG